AGAAGAAGAAACCUUGGGAAAACAGAGGAAAACUGUGGUUUUCUUGGGUGUCAAGUGCUUGGAGUCAUCAAGCCACCAUCUAAGACACUCUUGCUCUGUCCAUUGUCCAGUUACUCAUAACCGAGAUAAUUCUCUGAACAGCUGCAAAGGUGCUGGGAAAUGCCACCUGAAAUUGGAAGGCACGAUCAAGUUUUGA